AGACACCCCUUCUCCCCAGUACCCUGCAACAAAACACUAAACAGACUAUUUAACUUGAGUCUAAUAAAUUUAGAAUAAAGUUGUACAGAGAUGUGCAGGAGGAAAGAUAUCCUUCUGCCUUUUUAUUUUUUAUUUUUUUAAGUUGUAACAAAAUAUAUUUGAGUAACUGUUUCUUGUACAGUUCAGUUCCUCUUUGCCUGGAACUUGUUAAGUUUAUGUCUGAAGGGCUUCAGUCUCAAAGGACCUGGGGCUGCUAUGUUUUGAUGACUUUUCCUGCAUAUCUACCUCAUUGAUCAAGUAUUAGGGGUAAUACAUUGCUGCUGGUAAUUUGUAUCUGAAGGAGACCUUCCUUCCUGCACCCUUGGACUGGAAGAUACUGAGUCUCUCGGACCUUUCGCUGUGAACAUGGACUCUCCUCGCCCCUCUUAUUUGCUCAAACGGGGUGUUGUAGGCAGGGACUUGAGGGGCAGCUUUGGUUGUUUUCCUGAGCAAAGUCUAAAGUUUACAGUAAAUAAAUUGUUUGACCAUGACUUCAUUGCACCUGUUUCUCCAAAACCCCUUGACUGGAGUGUGCUUGCCUCCCCCACUGGAAACUGCAGGUUCCCUGGCAUUGCCUGUCCCCCCUGCACCCCAGAAGGAGCCCCCCAGCUCUUGGAACUUUCCACUUUGCCCUAAAGAGAGGUGAAGAUGCUGGACUAAGUCCAUGUGUACCCUGAACACCGUUCACAGGACCAUGCCACAGGAAUGAUAUCCAACAAAAGACAAGUUCAUGCUUGGGCUCAAGUACUGGAUCAGGAACCAGGAACCCCUAAAUAACUCAUGAACACAGAAGAAGUUACAAAAUAGUUGUCCACAACUGGGAUCUGACUCACAGGUAUGUUUUGUUUGGCCAAGAAAUGCUUUCACAUGUUUUUGAAAUAUAUUGCCACCAUUUAAAAUUAGAUUUCAUAUAAGAUUCAGAUUUUUAACCUGCAUGACAACAAUUACCUGGAGCUACUGCAUACGCCUCCUCACUUUCUGCAGGUGACCACCUGUCCACUCUGUUUCAUCCAUCUGCUCUGUGGACCUGAGCUGAGCUGACCUGCAGCGCCAUGUACCUGCCCUAGCCUGCACUGCAGAGUCCCACAACAAUCCUUCAAAGAUCUGCAGACAGUGACCUUGGAAUGGCCCCUCAAGUUCUCUGCCCGCAACUGAAACUCUCCACACCAGUUCCUUCAGUUGUCCCUCCUUUGCUUCUGGCAGUAGUGUCCUCCCUGUCCUGUUACUCUCUCUGACCGCACUCCCGUGGUCAGCGUCCCUCUUAAAGGGAUACAUUCAGAACAAUGCUCCCUAGGGUGCGGGGCUGACCCAAGCAGAGGAUUUAAAAGAAGUUUUUAUAUUACACACUACUAAUUUUUAUCCUGGCAAACAGACCAGCAAGAGUAUGCCAACUUAAAUUGAAAGUAGCCUUCAGCAAGCAAAGCUCACGCUCUCUCUCUUAAGACUCCAGCUAAAUAGAGUAAUACCUGGGGGAAGAACAUCAAAUCAUUUCCUGAGACUCUAUGUGGGCAUACCUGGAACAAUGUGGGAGGAAUGACAAGCAUCCUGAAACAAUUUUUCAUUUGUAAAUAUAAGCACUGAGAAGAAUCUAAGGAAAAUAAUUGUAAAAGCCCUUGUAAAAUGAGUGAUCUAACUG
ensembl:lncRNA